rnacentral:sRNA from 1 species
UUUUCGCGUUAGGGAUGGGAGCGGCAUCCUUUUGCUUUUUUCUUUAAAAAGCAAAAGAUAUAGCAGACAGCCCGACCCUUG